GACGAACGCUGGCGGCGUGCUUAACACAUGCAAGUCGUACGGUAAGGCCCUUUCGGGGGUCCACGAGUGGCGAACGGGUGAGUAACACGUGAGUAACCUGCCCACAACUUUGGGAUAACGCUAGGAAACUGGUGCUAAUACUGGAUAUGUGCUCCUGCUGCAUGGUGGGGGUUGGAAAGCUCCGGCGGUUGUGGAUGGACUCGCGGCCUAUCAGCUUGUUGGUGGGGUAGUGGCCUACCAAGGCGGCGACGGGUAGCCGGCCUGAGAGGGUGACCGGCCACAGUGGGACUGAGAUACGGCCCAGACUCCUACGGGAGGCAGCAGUGGGGAAUAUUGCACAAUGGGCGCAAGCCUGAUGCAGCAACGCCGCGUGCGGGAUGACGGCCGUCGGGUUGUAAACCGCUUUCAGCAGGGACGAAGCUUUUUGUGACGGUACCUGCAGAAGAAGCACCGGCUAACUACGUG
rnacentral:rRNA from 1 species